GGAGGGAUGACACAGUACCAGACGCCAGACACGCCAGACGGAAAGGCAUUGUGUUCAAAGGGUGCCAUAAACUGCUGCUUUAUUUAAUGUGGGACGACACAGCACCGGACGUCAACAGCAAGGCACUCUGUUCCAAGGGUGCCAUAAACUGCUGCGUUAUUUAAUGUAUUUUCGCAGAACAAGACAGUGACAGGGGCGUGGCUUCCUGGAUGUGCUGGUUCAAGCUUGGUGCCUGCCGGGAGGUGCCUACAGGGCCACCAAGGCUAAUAUUGGUAAGAAACUCGCCCACCACUUGUCCAGCCAGGUAAUUUGCACAGUCUGAUGUAAUAGGCGGUACGUGUCACCCACAACAACACAGGGCUGUCAGAUACAAAUGUAGAGGGACGAAAUAGGGAAGCAGGAAGACCACCACCAUCACCACCAGCAGUGUGGAAGAAAGUUUAGAGCAACGGCAACCCUCUGAUCCGGCAAGCAAGUUGGCGGCAGCGAUGGCGGUGGCGGCGGCAGUGGUGGUGAGGUGGACGGCAGGGACAGAGGGGCAGUACAGGCUGCGGACAUCAAGGAGAAGAGGAACGCACGGACAAGCAAGGUGUUAUUCGGCAGUCUGAUCCUGGACCUGCUAGGCUUGAAGGUGGUGCUGCCCGUGUCUUCUGCUCUCCUCGACUGUUACUCCAAGCACAACACCAGCGGCUUGUAUUCCUCUCAGCUCUCCUGUGUGACUUAUUCGCGGCCUCGGCUGUCUACGCACGCACUCUCACUGUGGCUAACAUAAUAUUCUUUGCUGUCUUCUUCCAGGAAUCGCUGCCUGAGGGCAGAAGGAGGAGGGACAUCGGUGCCAGUUUGACCGAGGCUUGGGAGGUGAUCAAUCCUAGGGCUCUGUUCUCCGUCAGCUGUGUCAAGGGCCUGGGCAGAGAAGGCACCGAGAGGCUCUGGAGAAGUUUGGAAGGGGACUACUGCAUCAUCCGCGUCUCAGAAACAUGCUGCCGCCCGAUGCGCCUCGCCCGGUCCGUGCCACCAGACACCACAACAGAAUAACGCCCCUGAAGGCGCCGCGCACGGACCGGUACAGACUCAGUGCGAUUCCCACCAUGGUGCGAGCCAUCAAUCAAUAUUAUUUCCCUCCUAGAUUAGACUUACCUUUAGGAUUAAUGUUAAGUUUUUCCCCAUCCCCUAUGUACAUUUUCAGUUUGUCAACUGCCUAAAUAAUAAACCGUUUAUUAUUAUUA